CAUUAAAUGACUGAACUAAGUUUUGAUCUUUUAAAUCAAAUAUAAUAGAUUUUACUCUAUUUUUAAUG
rnacentral:tRNA from 1 species